UCGACCUCAGAUCAGACGAGAUGACCCGC
rnacentral:rRNA from 2 species